rnacentral:rRNA from 1 species
GAUGAACGCUGGCGGCGUGCCUAAUACAUGCAAGUCGAGCGAACAGACGAGGAGCUUGCUCCUCUGACGUUAGCGGCGGACGGGUGAGUAACACGUGGAUAACCUACCUAUAAGACUGGGAUAACUUCGGGAAACCGGAGCUAAUACCGGAUAAUAUAUUGAACCGCAUGGUUCAAUAGUGAAAGACGGUUUUGCUGUCACUUAUAGAUGGAUCCGCGCCGCAUUAGCUAGUUGGUAAGGUAACGGCUUACCAAGGCGACGAUGCGUAGCCGACCUGAGAGGGUGAGCGGCCACAAGGGAACAGACACACGCUACAGACCCAUACGAGGCGCAGCAGUAGGAAAUUGUGCACAAGGGGAGAACGCCUCACGGCGCCACGACGCGUGAGUGAGGAAGGUCUUCGGAGCGAAAAACUCUGUUAUGAGGGAAAAAAAAAUGUGUAAGUAAAUACGCACGUCUAGGGGGUCCAUUAACAGAACCCCGCGGAUAAAUGCG